rnacentral:rRNA from 1 species
GAUGAACGCUGGCGGCGUGCCUAAUACAUGCAAGUCGAGCGAAUGGAUUAAGAGCUUGCUCUUAUGAAGUUAGCGGCGGACGGGUGAGUAACACGUGGGUAACCUGCCCAUAAGACUGGGAUAACUCCGGGAAACCGGGGCUAAUACCGGAUAACAUUUUGAACCGCAUGGUUCGAAAUUGAAAGGCGGCUUCGGCUGUCACUGAUGGAUGGACCCGCGUCGCAUUAGCUAGUUGGUGAGGUAACGGCUCACCAAGGCAACGAUGCGUAGCCGACCUGAGAGGGUGAUCGGCCACACUGGGACUGAGACACGGCCCAGACUCCUACGGGAGGCAGCAGUAGGGAAUCUUCCGCAAUGGACGAAAGUCUGACGGAGCAACGCCGCGUGAGUGAUGAAGGCUUUCGGGUCGUAAAACUCUGUUGUUAGGGAAGAACAAGUGCUAGUUGAAUAAGCUGACACCUUGACGGUACCUAACCAGAAAGCCACGGCUAACUACGUGCCAGCCGCCGCAGUAA